rnacentral:rRNA from 1 species
GAUGAACGCUGGCGGCGUGCCUAAUACAUGCAAGUCGAGCGAACGGACGAGAAGCUUGCUUCUCUGAUGUUAGCGGCGGACGGGUGAGUAACACGUGGAUAACCUACCUAUAAGACUGGGAUAACUUCGGGAAACCGGAGCUAAUACCGGAUAAUAUUUUGAACCGCAUGGUUCAAAAGUGAAAGACGGUCUUGCUGUCACUUAUAGAUGGAUCCGCGCUGCAUUAGCUAGUUGGUAAGGUAACGGCUUACCAAGGCAACGAUGCAUAGCCGACCUGAGAGGGUGAUCGGCCACACUGGAACUGAGACACGGUUCAGACUCCUACGGGAGGCAGCAGUAGGGAAUCUUCCGCAAAGGGCGAAAGCCUGACGGAGCAACGCCGCGUGAGUGAUGAAGGUCUUCGGAUCGUAAAACUCUGUUAUUAGGGAAGAACAUAUGUGUAAGUAACUGUGCACAUCUUGACGGUACCUAAUCAGAAAGCCACGGCUAACUACGUG